rnacentral:rRNA from 1 species
UACGUAGGGUGCAAGCGUUGUCCGGAAUUAUUGGGCGUAAGGAGCUCGUAGGCGGUUUGUCGCGUCUGCCCGUGAAAGUCCGGGGGCUCAACUCCGGAUCUGCGGUGGGUACGGGCAGACUAGAGUGAUGUAGGGGAGACUGGAAUUCCUGGUGUAGCGGUGAAAUGCGCAGAUAUCAGGAAGAACACCCGUGGCGCAGGCGGCUCUCUGGUACGUGACUGACGCUGAGACGCGAAAGCGUGGGGAGCAAACAGG